rnacentral:rRNA from 1 species
CCUACGGGAGGCAGCAGUGAGGAAUAUUGGUCAAUGGGCGCGAGCCUGAACCAGCCAAGUCGCGUGAGGGAGGACGGCCCUACGGGUUGUAAACCUCUUUUGCCGGGGAGCAACGGGCGCCACGUGUGGCCUCACUGAGAGUACCCGGAGACAAAGCAUCGGCUAACUCCGUUCCAGCAACCGCGGUAAUACGGAGGAUGCGAGCGUUAUCCGGAUUUAUUGGGUGUAAAGGGUGCGUAGGCGGAUCGUUAAGUCAGUGGUCAAAUUGAGGGGCUCCACCCCUUCCCGCCAUUGAAACUGGCGUUCUUGAGUGGAAGAGAAGUAUGCGGAAUGCGUGGGGUAGCGGUGAAAUGGAGAGAUAUCACGCAGAACCCCGAUUGCGAAGGCAGCAUGCCGGCUUCCGACGGACGCUGAAGCACGAAAGCGUGGGGAUCGAACAGGAUUAGAUACCCCUGUAGUC